rnacentral:rRNA from 1 species
AAAACUUUUCGCUAAAAGAUGAGCCUGUGUAGGAUUAGGUAGUUGGUAUUUGGGUAAAAGCCUACCAAGCCUAUGAUCCUUAGCUGUUCUGAGAGGUUGUACAGCCACACUGGGACUGAGACAAGGCCCAGGCUUCAUUUGGAGCCAGCAGUGAGGAAUUUUGGACAAUGAGCGAAAGCUUGAUCCAGCAAUACUACAUGAGUGAUGAAGGCUUUCAAGUUGUAAAACUCUUUGGUUGAGGAGGAUAAUGACAGUACUCAACAAAAUAGCCCCGGCUAACUUCGUGCCAGCAGCCGCGGUAAGACGAAGGGGGCGAGCGUUAUCCGGAAUGACUGGGCGUAAAGGGUCCGUAGGCAGCAUUUUUUGUUAGAGGUUAAAUAAAAAAGCUUAACUUUUUUCCGCUUCUAAAACGUAAAUGCUUUGAGUUUGAUAGGAGAUAGCAGAAUUUCACAUGGAGGGGUGAUAUCCGUAGAUAUGUGAAGGAAUACCAGAGGCGAAGGCGGCUAUCUAGACCAAUACUGACGUUGAGGGACGAAAGCAUGGGGAGCAAACAGGAUUAGAUACCCUGGUAGUCCAUGCCCUAAAAGAUGAGUGCUCGUGCUUAGAGAUUUUUAGGCACUUAGUUAACACGUUAAGCACUCCGCCUGGGGAGUACGACCGCAAGGUUGGAACUCAAAGGAAUUGACGGGGGCCUAUACAAGUGGUGGAGCAUGUGGUUUAAUGCGACAAUAUGCGCGAAACCUUACCAGUUCUUGACAUAAAAAAGAAAAAGUUUGAAAGGACAAUUUUGAAGAUUUUUACAGGUGCUGCAUGGCUGUCGUCAGCUCGUGUCGUGAGAUGUUAGGUUAACUCCUUUUAACGGGCGAAACCCCUUUUUUUAGUUGCCACUUAAAUUUAGUUUUAAAGCACUCUAAAAAGACUGCUCCCUUUUUUUAAUUUGGAGAGGAAGGUGGGGAUGACGUCAAGUCCUUAUGGCCCUUAUGAACUGGGCUACACACGUGCUACAAUGGUAAAGACAAUAAGAAGCAAUAGGGCAACCUGGAGCCAAUCUUUAAACUUUGCCAAAGUUCGGAUUGUGGACUGCAACUCGUCCACAUGAAGGUGGAAUCACUAGUAAUCGCACAUCAGCAUGUUGCGGUGAAUUAAUACGUAGGCCUUGCACACACCGCCCGUCA